rnacentral:lncRNA from 1 species
GGUGUAUGAACCUAAUCAAGAGUGAUCGUGGUUUAGUCACUUAUUGUUAUUGGAAGAGUUAUCACUUUGUUAAUUGUUUUGCAUGUUCUUAUUUCUUUAUAUUAUUUUUGUUAGUUCACUCCUAUUGUUUGUGUUUAUUGUGUUGAUCAUAUAAUAUUUGUGUUAUACGGGAGCAAAUGAUGAUGCAGAUGGUACAAAUGUUAUCUGGGAGCAGCAAUAAGAGGAUAGGAAAGAUUAAAGAGAGAAUAUUAUUAAUUUCGUUUUGAAUAAGAU